UGAGAAAUCUUCUGUCUAGCAUUAUAUGAAGAAAUCCCAUUUCCAACGAAGGCAUCUAAGAGGUCCAAAUAUCCACUUGCAGACUUUACAAACAGAGUGUUUCCAGAAUGCGGUAUGAAAAGAAAGGUUAAACUCUGUGAGUUAAACACACACAUCACUAUGCAGUUUCUGGGAAUGAUUUUGUCUAGUUUUUAUGCGAAGAUAUUCCCUUUUCUACUAUUGGAAUCAAAGCGCUUGAAAUCUCCACUUGCAAAUUGCACAAAAAGAGUGUUUUAAAUC
rnacentral:lncRNA from 10 species